UACGGGGGGGGCAAGCGUUGUUCGGAAUUACUGGGCGUAAAGGGCUCGUAGGCGGCCAACUAAGUCAGACGUGAAAUCCCCAGGCUCAACCUGGGAACUGCGUCUGAUACUGGAUGGCUUGAAUCCGGGAGAGGGAUGCAGAAUUCCAGGUGUAGCGGUGAAAUGCGUAGAUAUUCGGAAGAACACCAGUGGCGAAGGCGGCUCACUGGACUGGUAUUGACGCUGAGGUGCGAAGGCGUGGGGAGCAAACAGG
rnacentral:rRNA from 1 species